CAGUCGAGCGCCCGCAGGGGAGCGGCUGACGGGUGAGGACGCGUGGGAACUACCCUUUUCUACGGGAUAACGCAUGGAAACAUGUGCUGAUACCGUAGUGGCCGACAGGCGAAAGAUUUAUCGUAAAAGGAUGAGCCCGCGUUGGAUUACCUAGUUGGUGGGGUAAAGGCCUAACUAGGUAACUAUCCAUAUCUGGGCUGACAGGAUGAUCAACCUCACUGUGACUGAAACACAGCCCAAACUCCUACGGGAGGCAGCAGUGGGGCAUAUUGCACAAUGAGCGCACGCCUGAUCCAUCCGUGCCGCGUGUGUGAUGAAGGCCCUAGGGUUGUAAAGGACUUUCGCCGGACAACAUAAUGACGGUUGCCGGAGAACAAGCCCCGGCUAACUUCUUGCCAACAGCCGCGGUAAGACGAAGGGGGCUAACGUUGUUCGGAUUUACUGGGCGUAAAGCGCACGUAUGCUGACUAUUAAGUCAGGGGUGAAAUCCCGGGGCUCAACCCCGGAACUGCCUUUGAUACUGGUAGUCUUGAUUUCAAGACACGUGAGUGGAAUUCCGAGUGUAGACGUGAAAUUCGUUGAUGUUCUGAGGAACACCAGUGUGGAAUGCGGCUCGCUGGCUCGAUACUGACGCUGAUGUGCAAAAGCGUGGGUGAGCAAACGGGAUUAGAUGCCCUGGUAGUCCACCGUCGUAAACUAUGACAGGUAACCCUCGGGGCAAUAUACUGUUCGGGGGGCGCCACACACUCAAUUGAGGCUCUCCGGCCUGGGGGAGGUACGGGCCCCCAA
rnacentral:rRNA from 1 species